UCGUGGACAGUCGUCAACUCGUACGACUUGACAACAUGCCCGUCAUGGUUUCAAGUCCCAAAUGGACCGUCACUGAUUAUGACAUCAUCGCAUUUUUUCGCAAUAAGUAUAACAACAGAAUUGUUAGCAAAAUUCCAAAUAAAAUCCAAAUAUUCAAGAGAUGUACAGUGGAACACUUCAUUACGAGUUUUUCGCAUAACAAUCAAAUAUAAAUAUAAAAACUAAUACCUCUCAUAACGGGUUAUAAUCCCGUCAUUUGUGUUCUCGGUGCGUUUUUCGGUACUGUAAAAUUAGGAUCACGAUCAGUAAACAUUGAGCAUAAAAUAAUUUUGAUUAUCGCUCAGGCAAGGAAACAUAAGGGAUGAGGAUUCACGAAGACGGGAGCGGAAUUGGGAAACUAGGACGUUGAAGUCGAAUAGGAGAUACGAAUCGUUGAAGGCAGAAAGAGCGCGCAAGAAAGGGUCAUUCUGGCCAUGACGAGUUUGGCGGGAAGGAAUAAGGAGCGGGGGUCGGUCACGAAGACGACGUGAGGGGGCAUAGGUAGGAAUCGAGGAUAGGAGGGCGGGAACAUCCAAGUCAUUGGAAAGGAGGCAGGCAAUGAAAUAUGACUGGAUGUGAUAAAUGCGCGUUCUUAAUGUCUCUAGCCCGAGCAAACGGCAUCGGAUAGGAUACGAAGGAAUUCGAUCCGAUCGUCCAAGAAAACGACGGAUAGCGACACGAGUGAAUUUCCGCUGAAUUCGUUCGAUCCUAUCGACCAGUGUUGUUUAAUUGUGUGAGACACGAGUGUCAGCUCAUUUUUCUGAAUUCACUUGCUCCUGAAGGUUCGAGUUUCCCCUGCCAAUUGCUACCACUUACCGGUUUAACCGAGGGAGAAACCUUCAUUAUCACUGUAGCGGGCAAUAGAACUUACAGUGUGUGCAAAUUAAUCCGGUGUAAACUCCCUCGUACACAAAUGAACUGCCAGUCGGCUCACCCGCGAGGGUAUUGCUUCAACUGAAAUUGCUGCCACUUGUAGGAACUUCAUAUGACUACAUAGGGUAACUGUACCAGUUUUCGGCAGGGUAACUAAAAACGUGAAAUUAUGCUCAAAUGUGAUACAAAUGUCUUAAAACACAAUUUUUUAGUAAAAGUAUACUCAUUUGUUAUUCAUAUAAGAAGUUUGACAUCACUAUCUUGCGUAUUUUCUAGAGCGCAAUCUAGAGGGUAAGAUGAAUUUGAGAAUUAGUAAGAAUAAUGCUCGGAAAAUUCGACGAUGUGACGAGCAUUACAUAUUCAUGGCCAAAAAUAAGCUACU